UACGGAGGGCGCGAGCGUUAAUCGGAAUCACUGGGCGUAAAGCGCGCGUAGGCGGUUUGGUAAGUCAAAUGUGAAAUCCCUCGGCUCAACCGGGGAACUGCAUUCGAUACUGCCUGACUGGAGUGCGGGAGAGGGUGGUAGAAUUCCCGGUGUAGGGGUGAAAUCCGUAGAGAUCGGGAGGAAUACCGGUGGCGAAGGCGACCACCUGGACCGCAACUGACGCUGAGGCGCGAAAGCAUGGGUAGCAAACAGG
rnacentral:rRNA from 1 species